rnacentral:lncRNA from 1 species
AACACUCCUAACCAGGCUUCGUCCUUCAAAAAGCCAUCGCAUAUGAACAAGCUGUAAGUCCCACGAAAAAUAUUGUUAAGGACCCUGCUGAAUUGUCUUUAGCGGAGAGAAAAGCACUCUUUGAGAAAAAUAACAGCAAACCUAUUCUUCCUAAGGUACCUUUUGGUCAACCACUUCCCGUCAAUAAUAAGCAAACAAAUACUCACAUUAUGGAAGCCUGCGCAACUUCAACAAUGAAGGUAAAUAAUUUACCUUGGUCUCUCAAGCAAGAAGUCAUAGCAAAUUCAACAAAAAAAGGAAAUAAUUUACCUUACUCUCCAAUCAAGGACAAAUUGCCAGCAAAUAUGACUAUGGAAACUGAUGAUUUGUCUAACUCACCCAAGAAGAAUCCAGUGCACUCGGCAGAGCCUGGAAAAGUGAGCAAGCUUCAGUCCAGAUUGGCAGUUUUUGAAUCGAAAGAAAAAAUUCUCUGUGAAAAGAAAUAUGACGAUGAAAGAGGAAAAGAAUUGGAAAUGCUCUGCAAUCGAUGGGAAAAGUUUAAAUACAUCAAAGGCAGCACUGUCCAAGAGAAAGUAGUCUCACCAAGAGUGAACAAAUGUUUUGUUACAACAGUACAUCCAAAGAAACGACCAAGCUUACUCAUAAGUGACUCUCCUUCAACGCCUGAGCAGCCACCAUACUCACAGUCCCCUGUUCGCUGUCCUAUAUCGCCUGAAAAUGAGGUUAAGGAAGGAAAAGAAAUUAAACCUAGAGUUUCGAUGCCUAAUGUGUCACCGAUUGUUGUAUCACCUCCAAAACCUGGACAGCUAUAUCCAAGUCUAUCAGAUAUUGAGGCAAAGACAGGGUCUGAAGUAGCGGAUGAAAAGAAUGAUGCCUCCAUGGACAGUCAAGGGCAGAAUGAUUCUGAUUACACUGUAUCCUCCAGCGAUGGUACUUCCAGUUUUGGGCGUGAAAUUAUACACAUGGCCAGUGAAAAAAUUCUAAUAGGCUCCAAUCGUAAGAGGAGCAGUAGCAGUAGUGAUAUAUCAGGUUAUGAUCAGAAGGCUGUUAACUCCGUGGGCAACUUCCUGGAAGAAGCUUUGUCCGAUGAGUCUUCUUGUCCAUCGCCAACAAAACAACCGCGUAACGGUCAUGCGAUGGCUCAGUUGGAUUCUUCCCCAGCUUCUCACAUUAGUUUCUCAAAGGAGGAGAAAAAUCCUGUUUGCUUGCCUCUUCUUCACACUGUUAGCUUUUACCGAAAAUUGCAGAAUCAGAAUUCAGUAAGUACACCAAUAUUUUGCUCAAACAAACUCAAGUUUCAUUGGCUUCAUUGGAUAAGUUUUUCAAUGAAAACAGGAAUGAGAGCAGUUCUUUAUAUAUCUGAAUACUUAAACUUAUUAUAG